CCCUUAGACGUUCUGGGCCGCACGCGCGCUACACUGACGGAGCCAGCGAGUAUAAACCUUGGCCGAGAGGUCUGGGAAAUCUUGUGAAACUCCGUCGUGCUGGGGAUAGAGCAUUGUAAUUAUUUCUCUUCAACGAGGAAUUCCUAGUAAGCGCAAGUCAUCAGCUUGCGUUGAUUACGUCCCUGCCCUUUGUACACACCGCCCGUCGCUACUACCGAUUGAAUGGCUUAGUGAGGCUUCCGGAUUGGUUUAGAGAAGGGGGCAACUCCAUCUUGGAACCGAGAAGCUAGUCAAACUUGGUCAUUUAGAGGAAGUAAAAGUCGUAACA
rnacentral:rRNA from 1 species